rnacentral:rRNA from 1 species
GACGUAGGGCGCAAGCGUUGUCCGGAAUUAUUGGGCGUAAAGAGCUCGUAGGCGGUUUGUCGCGUCUGCUGUGAAAACCCGAGGCUCAACCUCGGGCCUGCAGUGGGUACGGGCAGACUAGAGUGCGGUAGGGGAGAUUGGAACUCCUGGUGUAGCGGUGGAAUGCGCAGAUAUCAGGAGGAACACCGAUGGCGAAGGCAGAUCUCUGGGCCGUAACUGACGCUGGAGA